rnacentral:rRNA from 16 species
AUAACAAUACCGGGCGCGUUAGUGUCUGGUAAUUGGAAUGAGUACAAUCUAAAUCCCUUAACGAGGAUCCAUUGGAGGGGAAGUUUGGUGCCAGCAGCUGCGGUAAUUCCAGCUCCAA